GCGAGGUUGAAUGCUCGAGUCUCUGAGGUUGCGGCGGGGUUGGAACAAAUCUUCUCUCUUCUUCGUAUUUUUCUCGAGAUCUGUGGAGAUCAGGCGAGUUCCUUCGAGAUCCGUAUCGAUCUGUCGAGAUCUGUUUUACUCUCUCUAGAUCUAUGACCAGAUCGUCGAGAUUUGCGUUUUCUUUCUGGAUCUAUGAUGGUCUGAAGGUAUCGGCUCUCUUCUUACGAAAUCUGAGGCUUACUGCGUUUUCUCUCUAGAUCUA
rnacentral:misc_RNA from 1 species